AUGUGGAGCAAGACGCAGCAGCAGAAGAGGACUAAGCCGAGGAGGUUAUGGAAGAGGAUGGAGUAGGAGGAGUAGAGGAGGUGGCAGCGUACUGGCAGAGUACACGCUGUAGGGCUGACACACCUGCUUGAAGAUAACUAACUGCUAUUCAAUCUAUACAGUGAAAAAAAAAAUUUGUUUUUAAAUCCAAGCUAUUGUGACACCAGUGAGUGAGUGGUGUGUUUAGUACUAUUGUUAUCAGUUUAAUCACUGUUACGCCCCCUAUCCGUUGAUGUGGAGCAAGACGCAGCAGCAGAAGAGGACCAAGCCGAGGAGGUUAUGGAAGAGGAUGGAGUAGGAGGAGUAGAGGAGGUGGCAGCGCACAGGCAGAGUACACGCUGUAGGGCUGACACACCUGCUUGAAGAUAACUAACUGCUAUUCAAUCUAUAACAGUGAAAAAAAAUUUUUGUUUUUAAAUCCAAGCUAUUGUGACACCAGUGAGUGAGUGGUGUGUUUAGUACUACUGUUAUCAGUUUAAUCACUGUUACGCCCC